rnacentral:rRNA from 1 species
UCCUAUAAGCCAUCUAAGUAUUAACUUCUUUUUAUAGAAAAGAGAAGGGUCAGGCCUGGUUAGUACUUGGAUGGGAAACCACCUAGGAAGACCAGGUGCUGUAGGCA